rnacentral:misc_RNA from 1 species
UAGAUCGACCUCAUCUGCCGGAAAAUCAAUGUAACCGGGAAAUAUGAUAAAAUCAUUUCAGUUGCAAGGAAACGAGCUUCUUUGGACGAGAGCACUCGGCGGAAUAUUGGAAUACUUGGAGUAUUAAGAACACGU